UGCGAAAACUAAAAUGGAUGAGUGGAACAUUUAUUUUGAUCUUUUCGGCGGCAUGACUAUGGAUGAAUGGGAAAAAUAGAUGCCAAUAAUACCCAGGCAUGCAGAUUUGAAGGAUACCGCAUUGAAUGACCUAGAGAAAAGCCGCAACGGAAAAAAACACAGUUAAGAUACAAACUGAGCUGUGCUUUGCUUCGAGGGCUGGCUAGCAGAGAAUAAAACAGUUGUUGACUUCAAAACGGUCAUUAAGGAAGAAUUUAACAUCCUUCUCCGACAGUUUUAUGGAAAUGUACGAAAUGGGAAGGGGCGGUACAGCAUAAGUAGCUACCUGGCACUCCGGAGUGGGCUCAACGGGUUUCUAAAUGACCCACCCAUCGGUUGCAGCUGGUGCCUUAUGCAGGACACUGAAUUUACCACAUCGAAUCAUGUAUUUCAGGGAAACAUCGAACAGCUAAGACGGCAAGGAAAAUAUAUCACAAACAGCCACCCUCCCUUCACCGAUAAGGACAUGGCCCAGCUCCAAAACUCCCAGGCUCUGAAUCCCGCAACACCAAGCGGUCUGGUCCAGAAAGUGUGGUUCGACCUCCAGUUACAUCUGGGUCGAAGAGGAAAAGUGGGGAACAGACAACUAAAGCCCAACGGCCUAAGAUACGCCACUCUCGCAUAUAACGAGGCCAUAAAGAAUCAUCUGGACCCAAGGGAGACACCGGUGCCAAUAUAUCCAACAAACACCGGCCUCUCGGGCCUUUAUCACUUAAGUCAGCUGUGGUGGAUAACAACGUGAAUGUAUGGUUUCAUUUAUUAAAAUCAGCUCAAAUGAA